AAGAAAGUCCCAAGAACUGCUAACUCUUGACCCCGUAUCUAACAGACACGGCUUUCUUA
ensembl:Mt_tRNA